CCCAGACUCCUACGGGAGGCAGCAGUGAGGAAUAUUGGUCAAUGGGCGGAAGCCUGAACCAGCCAAGUCGCGUGAGGGAAGAAGGCCCUGCGGGUCGCAGACCUCUUUGGACGGGGAGCAAGGCCGCCGACGUGUCGGCGGAAGGAGAGUACCCGUAGAACAAGCAUCGGCUAACUCCGUGCCAGCAGCCGCGGUAAUACGGAGGGUGCAAGUGUUAAUCGGAAUUACUGGGCGUAAAGCGCACGCAGGCGGUCUGUCAAGUCGGAUGUGAAAUCCCCGGGCUCAACCUGGGAACUGCAUUCGAAACUGGCAGGCUAGAGUCUUGUAGAGGGGGGUAGAAUUCCAGGUGUAGCGGUGAAAUGCGUGGAGAUCUGGAGGAAUACCGGUGGCGAAGGCGGCCCCCUGGACAAAGACUGACGCUCAGGUGCGAAAGCGUGGGGAGCAAACAGGAUUAGAUACCCGAGUAC
rnacentral:rRNA from 1 species